rnacentral:hammerhead_ribozyme from 1 species
AUCCAUCUGACGAGUCCGCUAUAGAACGAAACGCGUGUCCUGGAU